CUGUUAAGGGGAAUGGGGGAAGUAGAAA
rnacentral:piRNA from 1 species